GUAAUGUACUACAGUUCUAUAAGAUGUCACCAUUGGGGAAGAAGAGCGAAUGAUACUUUGGACUCUUUAUACUUUUUUCUUAACUUUUAAUUAUUUCAAAAUAAAAAGUUUAAAGUUAAACUUAAGUUUAAAGAGUUAAACUCCGUCCAGUGGAGUGAAAAGCAGGACUGUCGGGUUGAUGACUCCUGGGCUCCUUCUCUUUCCUGCAGUGGGAGGGACUUUGCCAUGACUCAAUUUCUCAUGGGACCAGGGGCCUACAAGAAGUCCAAGAUUUGGGCAAGCUGGACCUUGAAUCUAAAAAUUUCAUUCUUCUCCUGCAAGGCCGCUCUCACCUUUUCCCUAUUAAAAGGUGUCUUGCAGCUCAGCCUCUUUGGAGUGUUCAUCUAGACCUCUGCUCAAGAUGGCUGUCUACUGAGUACUUGAAGAAGGUGACCCUGUUCCUGCUAAUCCUUCUCACCAUGAGUUCCAGGCCAUUCCAGGCUACAUCACCGCAGUCCUGCAUGACAAGGAGAGCAUCUAGCGACAUCAACCUUCACUACCCCAGUCUGCCCACGUGUUCUCCGAUGGAUCCACGGUCAGACUGCUAUCCUUGAAAUUCAGCACCGGCCCCCUCCCAGUUCUGGAGACCAGGUGCCCAUUUAUGUUAAUGGGAGAAAGAAAAGGGGUCUUCUCCCCUCCUGAGAACUAUCUUCUUCCACCCACUCUGCCCCUGUUGGACCUCCCACAACCCACUUGUAGACAGCAGUGGGUGUCUGGAAACAGUGCUGCCUCUUCUCAGGUGAUCACUACUAGAGUUAUUCUAAUGGCAGGAAUUUCAAGCCGGGUAAGAGGAGCCAUGCCAGUCUGCCAGAUGGUGGGGGAGAUAAAUGUGGGCGAGCAAGCUUCAGACUAAAGCAAGGGAGAGGGGAUCGGGUGUUGUAAUCACAGUCAAGAAAAGGAGUCAGGUGACCCUCAUUACAUAGUAUAGAGCCCUGUUAUAAUAUCCCUUAUUACUACUCGAACUUGGAUUUAACCUGGGACAAACCCUUUUCUUCUCCUGCUUCUGCCUUCCCACCCUAGGUUAUAGCUCUUUCCCUGUGAAGUCAUCACUCUUACUAAUGAUAAUACUAAGAAAUAACUGUUACUAAUGGCUUUAGGUCAUUUCAUCUAAGAUGUCACAGCCAGAACAUUUUGCCCGGUUUUUCAGAUGAGCAAACGCAUUCCCAAGGUCACAGGCAGCUGAGAACAGACAGGUCUGGGAUUCAAACUCAGGUCUUUCUGGCUCAGAAACUCUUGUCCUGUUCUCCUGAGGAUGACGUAGGGGGGAUUUGCUCUAAACCCUACAUCUUUUUUUUUUUUUUUUUUACAUUUAUUUAUUUUUGAGAAACACAGUGAGA